rnacentral:rRNA from 1 species
GACGAACGCUGGCGGCGUGCCUAACACAUGCAAGUCGAACGGAAAGGCCCUGCGCUUGCGUGGUGCUCGAUAGGCGAACGGGUGAGUAUAACGUGUGUAUCCUGCACCUGACUUUGGGAGAACUUCAGGAGACAGGGGAGAAUAUCCCGUAGGAGAUCUUGCUGCACGGUGGGGGUUGGAGAGUGUCGGCGGUUGGGGAUGGACUAGCGGCUUAUCAGCUUGUUAGUGGGGUAGUGGCGUACCAAGGCUUUGACGGGUAGCCGGCCUGAGAGGGUGACCGGCCACAUUGGGACUGAGGGAGGGCCCAGACUCCUACGGGAGGCAGCAGUGGAGAAUAUUGCGCAGUGGGCGGAAGCCUGAGGCAGCAACGCCGCGUGCGGGAUGACGGCCUACGGGUUGUAAACCGAUGUCGCCGGUGACGAAGCGUUAGUGACGGUAACGGGUAAAGAAGCACCGGCUAACUACGUG